rnacentral:rRNA from 1 species
UACGGGGGGGGCAAGCGUUGUUCGGAAUUACUGGGCGUAAAGGGCUCGUAGGUGGCCAACUAAGUCAGACGUGAAAUCCCUCGGCUUAACCGGGGAACUGCGUCUGAUACUGGAUGGCUUGAAUUCGGGAGAGGGAUGCAGAAUUCCAGGUGUAGCGGUGAAAUGCGUAGAUAUCUGGAGGAAUACCGGUGGCGAAGGCGGCAUCCUGGACCGAGAUUGACACUGAUGAGCGAAAGCUAGGGGAGCAAACGGG